CAGCCGCCGCGGUAAUACGUAGGGUGCAAGCGUUAAUCGGAAUUACUGGGCGUAAAGCGUGCGCAGGCGGUUAUAUAAGUCAGAUGUGAAAUCCCCGGGCUCAACCUGGGAACUGCAUUUGAGACUGUAUGGCUAGAGUGUGUCAGAGGGGGGUAGAAUUCCACGUGUAGCAGUGAAAUGCGUAGAUAUGUGGCGGAAUACCGAUGGCGAAGGCAGCCCCCUGGGAUAACACUGACGCUCAUGCACGAAAGCGUGGGGAGCAAACAGGACUAGAUACCCCUGUAGUCCCUGUCUCUUAUAC
rnacentral:rRNA from 1 species